UACGUAGGGGGCAAGGCGUUGUCCGGAUUUAUUGGGCGUAAAGAGCGUGUAGGCGGCCAGACAGGUCCGUUGUGAAAACUAGAGGCUUAACCUCUAGACGUCGAUGGAAACCGUCUGGCUAGAGUCCGGAAGAGGAGAAUGGAAUUCCUGGUGUAGCGGUGAAAUGCGCAGAUAUCAGGAAGAACACCCGUGGCUAAGGCGGUUCUCUAGUACGGUACUGACGCUGAGACGCGAAAGCGUGGGGAGCGAACAGG
rnacentral:rRNA from 1 species